CCUUAAAAUGCACAGCGCAUGUCGUGUUUCUGUCAAUGAUUGAACAGAGCAUCAGUUUUUAAUAUUUAUUUGUUUUCUAGGAUCGCAGCAUUAUAGAGAGGCUGCAGCCAAGCCUGACUGCAACAAAACAGGAGCUGAGAGAGGAAUCAUGUGAACAAGAAGCCGGUGUGAAGAGGGUGACAACGUCUCAAGAGAAACGGACUCUGCAACUUCCCGAGAGGCUAGAGCCGCCUCACGACCUGGACCCACAAAUGAGGACCAAAACUAGACCCAGGUCGUACUCCAGCACUUCUAUUGAGGAGGCGAUGAAGAAAGCAGAGGAGCCGCCGACCCCUCCGCCUCGACCCCAGAAGACCCACUCCAGAGCCUCGUCGCUGGACCUCAACAAGCUCUUCCAGCAGGGCGCUCCAGGUGUAAAAAGUGGAUGGUUGCCUCCUCCUCCAGCCCUCCCUCCUAGACCGACAACUUCACAGGU